rnacentral:rRNA from 1 species
UGGCGGCGUGCCUAACACAUGCAAGUCGAACGCGAAAGUGGAGCAAUCCAUGAGUAGAGUGGCAAACGGGUGAGUAACGCGUGGGCGACCUACCUCAGAGUGGGGGAUAACCUUCCGAAAGGAGGGCUAAUACCGCAUGACAUACCGUGUUUGGAUACACGGAUAUCAAAGCCGGGGAUCGUAAGACCUGGCGCUUGGAGAGGGGCCCGCGUCCGAUUAGCUAGUUGGUGGGGUAACGGCCUACCAAGGCUCCGAUCGGUAUCCGGCCUGAGAGGGCGGACGGACACACUGGGACUGAGACACGGCCCAGACUCCUACGGGAGGCAGCAGUGGGGAAUUGUUCGCAAUGGGCGCAAGCCUGACGACGCAACGCCGCGUGGAGGAUGAAGGAUUUCGGUCCGUAAACUCCUUUCGACCGAGAUGAACACCUCUUGACCUAAUACGUUGAGAGGUUGACAGUAUCGAGGGAAGCAGCCCCGGCUAACUCCGUGCCAGCAGCCGCGGUAAUACAGAGGUGCCAAGCGUUACUCGGAAUUACUGGGCGUAAAGCGUGCGUAGGCGGUUUGUUAAGUCUGUCGUGAAAGCCCUGGGCUCAACCUGGGAAUUGCGAUGGAUACUGGCAAGCUAGAGUACGGUAGAGGAUGGUGGAAUUCCCGGUGUAGCGGUGAAAUGCGUAGAGAUCGGGAGGAACACCCGUGGCGAAGGCGGCCAUCUGGACCAGUACUGACGCUGAGGCACGAAAGCGUGGGGAGCAAACAGGAUUAGAUACCCCGGUAGUCCUGGCAGUAAACGGUGUGCGUUUGGUGUGGGAGGAUUCGACCCCUUCUGUGCCGGAGCUAACGCGUUAAACGCGCCGCCUGGGGAGUACGGUCGCAAGAUUAAAACUCAAAGAAAUUGACGGGGGCCCGCACAAGCGGUGGAGUAUGUGGCUUAAUUCGAUGCAACGCGAAGAACCUUACCUAGCCUUGACAUGCAUCUCUAAGUCGGUGAAAGCCGGCGACUGUAGCAAUACAGAAUUUGCACAGGUGCUGCAUGGCUGUCGUCAGCUCGUGUCGUGAGAUGUUGGGUUAAGUCCCGCAACGAGCGCAACCCCUGUGAACUGUUGCCACCGGCCUUCGGGCCGAGCACUCUGUUCAGACUGCCCUGUGAAACGGGGAGGAAGGUGGGGAUGACGUCAAGUCAGCAUGGCCCUUACGGCUAGGGCUGCACACGUACUACAAUGCUCAGUACAGAAUGAACCGAAACCGCGAGGUGGAGGAAAUCCCUAAAACUGAGCCCAAUUCAGAUUGGAGGCUGCAACUCGCCUCCAUGAAGCCGGAAUCGCUAGUAAUGGCGUAUCAGCUACGACGCCGUGAAUACGUUCCCGGGCCUUGUACACACCG